rnacentral:rRNA from 1 species
ACUCCUACGGGAGGCAGCAGUAGGGAAUCUUCCACAAUGGGUGCAAACCUGAUGGAGCAAUGCCGCGUGAAUGAAGAAGGUCUUCGGAUCGUAAAGUUCUGUUAUUAGAGAAGAACAAAGCAAGAGAGUAACUGU